rnacentral:lncRNA from 1 species
AGCCACACUCUCUCAAGUUCUAACCAACGAAAUUAUCUUACCCAUAAGCUCAUAAUCAAAGACCAACCAUCACAAACCACAAAUCAGAAGCAUCAAGAAGCCAGAAAUCAAAAAUCAAGCUUGAAAAGGUAGGAAACCCUAAAUUCUAGAAAUCCUUCGAUUCGAUGUUAAUUGAUGCAAUUGAUUGUUUAAAGUUGUGUAAUAGGGAGUCUAUUAUUGUUCUGGGUUGAUAAAUCAUGAACCCAUAACAUCAAAGUGCACGAAUUUGAAGAUUUGAG